CUGGUCUCCGCUCAAUAUAUUCUGAUUUCUUUAUUGCUGAGAGAAGUUAAAGAUUUAAAUAAAGAAGACUCUGUUUAUGGAUUGAAAGAUUUGCUGAUUCCCUCCGAAUUGAUCUAAGGAUGUAACACAAUCCCAUUCAAAAUCUCAGCAUACUUAAAAAAAAACAAAGAAACUUAAGCUAAUUCUAAAAUUUGUGGGGAAAUACCAAGGAAUUGGAGUCAUCAAUACAAUCUCAAAAAAGAGCACAGUAGGAAGACUCACACUCUCUGAUCAGGAUUUGCCAUAAAUACGGAACCAGUGUGGUGUGGUUUGGUCUAGUGAAGUCCGAGAGGCCAGGGGUGCGGUCCAGCUGGUUCACCCGGGAGCCCCACUGUAGAGUAGGUCACGGCACAACAGACUCUCAGAAACUUGUAGAAUGGAUGCAGAAGUUUCUGCCUGCCACCCACACGUGAAGACAGCCAGGGAGAGACUGGGAUAUGGCAGGGCUGAAGCAGGGGAGACUUGGAAGCCAAUGGGAUAGUGUUGGGACCAAGCCCAGCUCCCCCCAACCUGGAGGAGAGUGGCAGCAGAUUGCUGCUCAUCUCUGAAGCUUGCACUGCACAUGGAACACACAUCAUCCUUAUGGGGAGGAGAUGAACGCCAGGUCCUGUGUCCCACUGCUGAGACAAUGGCACCGGGACCUUCUGUACUGUCACUGGCUCUGCAAAAGGAUGACAGAUGCAGUUUGUGCCAGGGGGUGGUAUGCACCAGGGGACAGUAUGCACCAGGGGGCAGAAUGCACCAGAGAGUGGAAUGCACCAGGGACAGUAUGCAUCAGAGGGCAGAAUGCACCAGGGGACAGUAUGCACCAGGAGAAAGUAUGCACCAGGGGACAGUAUGCAGUAGGGGAUAGUGGACACGGGACAGUAUGCACCAGGAGGCAGUAUGCACCAGGGGGCAGUAUGCACCAAGGGACAGUAUGCACCAGGGGACAGUAUACGUCAGGGACAGUAUGCACCAGGGGACAGUAUGCACCAGGGGACAGUAUGCAGUAGGGGACAGUAUGCAGUAAGGGACAGUAUGCACCAGGGGAUAGUAUGCACCAGGGGCAGUAUAUACCAGGGGGCAGAAUGCACCAGGGGAAAGUAUGCACCAGGGGGCAGAAUGCACCAGAGAGCGGAAUGCACCAGGGACAGUAUGCACCAGAGGACAGAAUGCACCAGGGGACAGUAUGCACCAGGGGCAAUAUAUACCAGGGAGCAGAAUGCACCAGGGGGCAGAAUGCACCAGGAGAAAGUAUGCACCAGGGGACAGUAUGCAGUAGGGGAUAGUGGACACAGGGGACAGUAUGCACCAGGAGGCAGUAUGCACCAGGGGACAGUAUAUGUCAGGGACAGUAUGCACCAGGGGACAGUAUGCACCAGGGGACAGUAUAUGUCAGGGACAGUAUGCACCAGGGGACAGUAUGCACCAGGGGACAGUAUUCACCAGCAUGCAUGCCUUCCUUGUAACUUCAUCAGCAUGAUUCCUUUUGAUCAAAAUGUAUCACUCUUUUUGGUUUGAAAAUCUCGUUAAAACAUUCAAACAUUUUUACGACUCUGACAUGAAUCGUCAGCUUGCCCCAUGGAGAGAAUUUCUCUGUUUUACAGGCUCCCCCCCCACCGCCCCGUAUAUGCCCCUUUACUCUUCAAAAGGCUCAUUCCUGCCUUUCCAGCUUGAUGACCUCCUGCAAGUGAGUGUGGGUUUCUGCGUUUAGUUAAUUUGCGUGUUGUUGUUCUUGAACUGUUUCUUGGUUUGCAUUCCUCCCCAUCAGGGUCUGAAUCCCCAACAGUGGGAUUGCAGUAUUUGCCACAAGGCUUGGCACAGAACAGCCUUACCCAUAAAAAUGAGUAGUGUAAAGGUAGGCAUGGGGCACAUUCAUCCCCAGACAGAGCAUAUUUGUGAUUUUAAACCCUCACGUCCUCAAUUAAAUUAAAAAUCCGUUGAAAAGGCACUGGCAAAGGUUGGGUGAGCGUGUGGGGGAAUGGGCGCUCACGCACGUGCGUGGGGAUACAAUGGCUUCCGUGUCUCUGGAAAGCAGUUUGCCAGUGCCGUCCCACAUCCUUUCAACCACACCUAAGGAAUAUCUGAAGGAAAUAAAAAGGAACCGGAGAUGCAUAGAAAGAUGUAUUUGUGUACCGAUGCGUUCACGGCAGCAGAGCUGGUACAUAAAUUGGAAAUAGCUCAGUGUCCCUCCGGUGGCAUCUGACUUAAAUCGAGUGCAGUGUGUUCAUGCAAGGAAAUUCAGUGCAAUCCUUACAAUUCACGUUCUGGAAGAUCUUUGGAACGAUACGGUGGAAACCAUGUGUAACAUUACAUGAACAAAGUGGAUUGGGGGGCACCUGGGUGGCUCAGUGGGUUGAGCGUCUGCCUUGGGCUCAGGUCAUGAUCCCAGGGUCCUGGGAUCAAGCCCCGUAUAGGGCUCCCUGCUCAGCGGGGAGUCUGCUUCUCCCUCUUGUGCACUCUCUCUCUCUCUCGAAUAAAUACACUCUUAAAAAAAAAAAAGAAAAAAGUGGAUUAGGAAAACACACAGUGUGGUCUCAGUAUUGUGAAAAUACCUGUGUAUAAAAGUGCACAGAGAGGAGAGUGGAAAGAAAGAAUAAAAAUACAGAAGUGCUUACAAUGAUUUUUUUUUCCUUCUCGUACUUGUCUGUACUUUCCAGCGUUUCCGCGAUGAACACAUAGGACUUCUACAGGUGGCGUUUCUGAGCAGACUCCUGACUGACAGGCUUCUUGACUCAGAGAUGUGGGGACAACGAGAAGCCAGAAAAGCGACGAGAGGCUGGUUUGAUUAAAGAGCAUCAUCCACGAAAAUCAUGAAACAGGAGAAGGGAUGUUACUGCAGCCCAAGGUUUCCUAGUCAUGAAUUUUCAUACAGGAAAGAUGCAGCACAUGACGCCUGUUAGGACAGUGGGGACUUCAGCACAUCCUUGUGAGCAAUCGCAAACCCAGAGGGCGUGAAGGAGUCAGGCCUCCCAGGACCAGAGCCUCACGCCCCUGCUGUCCUGCUGUGCGUCUUGUUUGGGGGGCAGGAGCUUCCCGUCAAACAUCCGUAAAACUUGUCCACGUUCUAGGCCAGAAACAAUAUCAAACUCCCCAAGUGGAAACCAUAUGGGCCCCGUUCUCUGGUCACAAUGUCACAGAACAGGAGACUGAUAAACAGAGGGAGGGUGUCGAGAACGAAUCUAAACAGACACACCACAAACGCAGCCGUAGGAAUGUUACGUCUUAUGUUGACCCCAAAAGAUGCUCUGCAUCAAGGCAAACGUAUCUCUCCGAAAGAACUGAAAACGUACGUCCAUACCAACCUGUCCACGAAUGCUCACAGCAGCUUCACUCCUAAUAGCCCCACAGCGGAACCAGCCCAGAUGCCCGUCAGCUGGUAAUCGGAUAAACAAGUUUCAGGGCGGCUGUAGAGGGAUGACGGCUCGGGGAUGGAAAGGAAGGGGCAGUCGAUGACAGCACAGCGGGGAUGCGUCUCAAAGCGCUCUGCUCACCGAAAGAAGCCAGACACAGAGUGACAUCCUAGAUGCUUCCAUUUCUACGAAAUCUACAAAAGGCAAGACUUAACAGACCCAGGAAGCAGAUCCGGGGUGUCCUG